UGGUACCUGUAAAUUCAAGGUAACUUUUCAUUUCCAUAAAAAUCAUUUGACUCUCAUAGCAUAGCAAAACGAUAAAUUUCAUUUUUCUUAAUUUCUUAUUGCGUUUCUAUUUUCAUUUAAAAGGAACCUUGAAUUCUAAAUAAAAUCGCCCUUCGCGGAGUAUUUUUCCCGAGGUUUUUUACCGGUGCCCCAACGGGAAGGUAACCGGAUUGGCCGACCCCUAUCGAAAGUCGAGGUGACCAUGACUUUUAAUCGUCAUCGCAUGAAUGGGGAAGCGUAACGGUGCGACCGGUUCACACGAGGCCGAUGUUCGUCAUCAGGAUCCACCUGAUGCGGUGGGUCGUCCGUUCCAAGAUACAGUACGUAACGAUUUAACCUGUAAGUAGGUGACGGUCUCCUUUUCCGCUUGCCAUGUGCAUACAUAUCGACGUGGCCCGAAAAGAAAUCCGGCUCCCUAUCUCGACGUAUUCCAUGACCGUACAUUCGUGUACCCUAACCUAACAUAUUUAUUACUUUACAUAAAUUUAUUUAUUUUGUAAUUAGAAAUGGCGGUCAACAGUGAUCGAUGCAUUUAGCAAUUAAUACUUGAUAUCGUGAUUCAGAGAGAAGGGUGAAAAGGAUCCAUAGGAUCGAAGGACGACCAGUGGAACGAUACCGAUAUUUUACAGACGAUCGCGUGCACAACACGAUUCCGUACCGGUUGGUCAGAAUUAUGGUUCUAAAGUUACGGUAUAUGUUUGACGGUAAUGUUUGGUAAUUGCGAUUCAUUGCAGCGAACGGUAUUUCGAUGCUGCUUACAUCAUUGAGCCGCUUCUAUUUCUCAUUAUAAACACGUUUCACGUUGUUUUUCAUAGCAAUACAUUUCAUUAAAUUGCAAGGACUUUAGAAUUAUGUUUUUCUUUAAUAUUUUUUAAGAGUAAUAUUAGAUUACUAGGCGUUUUAUAAAUGUUAGAUAUACUUUGAAUGGAGGAUUUAGGAAAAGUAUGUGGUUUAGCAGGACCGGAAACAGCUGUUUGUAGGGUUAUCAGUGACAAGAUCCGUUUCCGUUUGCGAGGAACAGGUUGCUUUCGGACACAAAGUGAUUAUGUCCAAGAAAGCCGGCCGUGGAACGCGGAAUUACUCAUCGUGCAUUAAAAGGAUCUUCACUCGGCUUGCUCGUCACCGGAAGUCCCGCGUCGUCCAUGAACCCACCGUGGACAGCGUAUUUUCUUGUGUGAACCUACCUCAUUGUUGCUUACCACGAUUGCGCAAUUUUUAGGAUGAAGUAAUUAAUCAUCAAUCAUUUUCUAACACUUUUCUUACUAAUUAAUUUUUAUGACAAUCUAUCUCUGGGUUUAUUUAAUGAAAUUAACACGAGAAGCCUUGGUAUUAUACAAUUUUUAUUAUCUUUCUUGGAACUUUUUCUUGUUUGAUAAAAAGAGUUAAAAAUAUUGAUAAGAAUACAUCUCGCAAGGUUCUCGUCUAUUUUCUUGGAAUAUCCAAUCGUAAGCUAGCAAAACCCUUGAAGCACAGCCUCUAUCCUCGCUCAACAAGACCUUGAACCGUAGUAGUUCCAGGUAGACGAUGAUGUAAACACAGGAACGGGAGAGAAACGUUUUACUGGGUAUACAUAUAAGUUGGCUGUGUCUAAACGGAAGAUAAUUUAGCACUUCGAGGUUGACGAGCAAAUUUUCUUUCGAGGUAAUCCCUUUACCGUGAACAGAUCACCUUUUGUCCUUUUCAGGAAGCGCGGAAUGCUUCCUUGUGAAAUUAACUUUAAGAAAAAGGAGAUUUAAGAGGUACUUCAGGAUUGAAGUCGACCGACUGACAGGAAAACGAGCACACUGGGAGUAAGGUAUAUAUAAGGUGCUUCAAAGAAAUGGUACUUUAGUGGAUUUCUAUCUCAGCGCUUUGAUAUCUCAGCAUUCUAGUAUUUUAGCGUUUUAAUAUGGCAGGGUUUAAGUAUUCUAGUGCCCAAUAUCUCAACUUUUAUGUAUUUUAGCGCCAGUAUUCCAGCGAUAUGGCAUCCUAGGGCCCAAAACUUUAGCGUCCUAAUAUCCCAGCGCCCAGUAUCCAAGCGUCCAAAAUUUCAGCGCCCAAAAUUUCAGCGCUCUGGCAUCCCAAGGCCCAAAACUUUAGCGUCCUAAUAUCCCAGCGCCCAGUAUCCCAGCGUCCAAAAUUUCAGCGCCUUAGUAUCUCAUGUCCAAAAUUUCAGCGCCCAAAUAUUCCAAUGUCUCAAUAUACCAGCGCCCUAAUAUCCCAGCGCCCUAGUAUCUCAAUGUCCAACAUUCCAGCGCUCUGGCAUCCCAAGGCCCAAAACUUUAGCGUCCUAAUAUCCCAGCGCCCAGUAUCCCAGCGUCCAAAAUUUCAGCGCCUUAGUAUCUCAUGUCCAAAAUUUCAGCGCCCAAAUAUUCCAAUGUCUUAAUAUACCAGCGCCCAAAAUUUCAGCGCUCUGGCAUCCCAGGGCCCAAAACUUUAGCGUCCUAAUAUCCCAGCGCCCAAAACUUUAGCGUCCUAAUAUCCCAGCGCCCAAAUAUUUCAGCGUUCAGUAUCCCAGCGUGCAAAAUUUCAGCGCCCAAAUAUUCCAAUGUCCCAAUAUACCAGCGCCCUAAUAUCCCAGCAUUCCUCUAUCUCAGGCGAGACCAUCCACUAUCCCAACGUUUCAAUAUCUUAAUUUUGAGAUCAUCAUUCUAGAACAUUCUACAAUAAUUGAUUGUUCCCCGAACAGUUUCUUUCAAGACGAAAGGCGCGAGAGCAAAAUGAAAGGUGGAGAAAAAAAAAAGAGAAACAGAAACUGAACGGAGUAGCCCAGAGGCAAAGAGACGAGGAGAAAGAGGUAGGUUCAAAUAGUCGGUCACUGAGCAUGCCUUUGACCAUACGGUAUUCUAUCCUACUUGCUACUCGCCGCAUGAUCAUUAUUUCGUUCCAUACAUCACGUUUCGCCACGGUGACUUUACGUUUUUCUUUUUUCUCUUUUCUUUUCUUUCUCAACGACCGAUGAUUCGUUAAGAAUCGCUUUCCAGACCACCUAUAUAAUAUCAAUCAUUUAUUCUCUCGAUAUUGAAAUUGCACCGUGAAAAUUGUAUAAUCUUUUUAUAUCCUCUUUACUUCGAUCAGAAUUGCACACAGGUACGCGAAUAAUUUAUUACAGAAAAUUUAGUUGCCAAUGAUGCGAGCAAUGGCAAAAGUGUUCAGGAAGAAGCCGGUGGAUUUCUGCACGCGCUACUUCUUUCGCAAACGCACGCGCUCUUUUACUUCGUGAGUUACAUUUCACUGGUUAACUCGUCAGACUUUUACGUUCUGCACGAUAGUUCUCCCUGGCUUUUACCUCCUGAUUGAAAGCGAUUGAUUCCAUAUCGCCUGCUCGCCUCACAUUCUGCUUGGACGAGGUAAAUAACGGUUUGCAAUGUAACUAAACGAUCGGAAUCUCGUCUUCUUUCUUCCAUGAUUGAUCUCUAAUGGGUUCGCUCGCGAUUACGAUGUUCAUUUCUGUAAUACGAAGAAUCUAAUAUUCAGUGAUCCAUGAUAGUUUUAUAAAUAUUCUCUUCUAAUAUUGGGACGUUUUAAAAUUUCAUCCACGCGGUACCUUGAUUAUUGCUCGAUCGAGCGAGGCAAAUGACUUCUUUCGAAACGCACGAAAACCAGUCUCGCCGGAAUGCGAGAAAAAAUAGCGCAUUUUAGUUUUCCAGUCGCGUUGAAAGAUGAAAAGUAAGGGGCUGGAAAGGUGGCAUUUUAAGAGCCUACGCCUCGACGAGGAAUUCGUUUCCUACCUUCAAAUAUGGUACUGUAGGUUGAAGACAAACCAUUGUCUUAGAGUUUCAUAAGAACCUUCAGCAAUCGUGAAGUUGAUUUUUUCAUUUGAAAAUCUUCGAUUAACAGAUCUAUAAAGUCAGGCAAUAAGUAGAAUUUUUCCCGACUUUCUAUAGCAGUAUCUCUGCGAUCGAUCGCCGUCCAUUGUCUCUGUUUUCUAUCCUUCUGUUUUCGUAUCGAAGAUACUGGCAUAAGCAUUGGUCCCAUGAAACUAACGGUUCCCAUCGCAGGAAGAACGAGCCUCGCGAUACUGGAAUGCGAAAGGCAAAUCGAAUCAUUGCUCUGCAACUCUGUUCCAUCGAAUCUGUUGCUUUAUAGACCAGUAGGAAAUGUCUCGUUUCAUUUGACAAUCUAUCAAACUUAUAUAAUCUUUCAAUACAGUUCUGUGAAUUAUUUCCAAAAUAUUAGCUAAUUAAAUGGAUAAAAUCUGUCAGCCGUAUCUAGGUGAUCUGAUAUUAUGCUUUCACUUUGUUGCUCCGUGCAACUCCACCUUUCCAGUUAACACGACGAAUAAAUCCAGAGGUUGAAUAAUAGUAUCGACCGCAAGUGUUUAUGAUGCAACCAGUUUAUCGAUUCCCCAUCGUUCGAGAGUGCAACACUUCGAUUCUCUAAAAAUGCACUCGUGAACUAUGGAUCUUUCCUGUGCGAGCGUUGAUGUUUCUUCAAAUCGCGUUACAUUUCAACCGAUUCAGAGUAUUUCAAAAAGGGAGAAUGUAAUUUAUUAAAAACAAAUGAAUAAUAAACAAACGUAAUAUCUGUCGAGAUUUGCUAUUUUUAGGAUUCGCAAAGGAACCCCUGUGGCUCGGGGGGAUUAGAAUACGGCCACGGUAUCCCCUGCCUGUCGUAAGAGGCGACUAAAAGGGGACACACACGCACAGACUCUAGUAAAAAAUUGUAAAAGUAUGGCAAAUGUAUGAAACAAUGUAAAAUGCAAAAGAGAAUGAAAUUCGAAAAGGGGACAGUAAAAGUACCCAAAGUACGCCUGGAGGAAACGGGACGUAAAAAUGCCUCCCUUUUUUCCGAACCGGGGAAAAUUAAAGUAAAGUAAAGGAUUCGCAAUAGGUUUUACUUCUUCUUUCUACGAAAUUUCUACACUUUCCAAUAUUGCGACCAAUGCUUUCGAAUAGAAAUCGCUAAGUAAUCUAUAUAUAAAAGAUCGUUCGCAUGCGGGCGUUGAAAUCUCCGAGUCACAGCUACCUACCGUCCCGUUAGAAACGUGAUUUUAUAGGCUCGGCGAGAUCUUUCAUUAUCACCAACGUGUAAUUAAAGGAAUAAUGUAGAAUUACGUGAAUCGCUGUGAAUUUUUAACACGCACCAGAUUAUUCCUGAGAUAUUUUUCUUUUAAUAAAAAAUUUAAGAGACACGGGCAAUUUUUGACACUUGUAUAAUUUCGUACGUUUGUAUAUUAAAUUAGAUCAUUUAUGAUGUGUAAAUGAUAGACGCAGCUAUUUUCUAUUCGUGGAAAACGGCGCGUUAGGAGAAACGAAACAAAGCGGAACGUCUCUAGGCAACGAAGUAACUCUGAUCGAUUUAAAGACAAGACGAGCUGCAGACUCGAAGCUUAGAAGAGUUCCCUGCCCUCGCUUCUACGACGAUCGUCGUGUUCUACGCGAGCAGAAUGUAAUAGGUGUGCUCGCGUGCACGAGGCUUGAGUAAUCUCGUAUACCCGGUGUACGGUUCGCGAUCAAAUCAGUUUUCCCCGGUAAAAAUAACGAUAUAGGAGAAAAUUUUGAAAAUCACCGUCUUCGAUUCUCAAAGACCUCGAAAAAUUCUAAGAAAUAUUAUUUCUAAGGAAACUAUAGUUACCUGAGACUUUUGAUGCUAAGCCAUGCGAUCAGAAAACAUUUCUUCCCAUUGUGUUCUCGCGUGAUCCGAAAGAGCGUAGGAAAGUCGAUCAAAGGGAAAGUUACGUGAAAAUUGAACGGUCCCAACAAAUAGAUCAGCGAUACCGAUAACUUAAUUAUCGUCCCUCGGGCUGUGCCAAUGUCCAAUGGUCAUUGAGUGAAAGUCGUGCUCUUUGGACGAGAAACAAUGAGCGGUAAACGUCACCAGCUGAAUUAAUUACCGUGGUUAAACAAUUGUUCUUGUUUUCUCCCGUUAAAUAUCCUUCGUUUAAGCAUAUCUUUGUUUUGUAAUAUUCCAAGUGAUAGAUUAAGCAAUUUAUUAAAAUCUCUAUUUGUCAUAGUUGGAUAUUAUUCGAGUAUAAGAUUCUUUGUUAUCAAGAUUCAUCUAAAUUCCUUUUGGGUGAUAAAUUCAGCUGGUUUCAAUCACUGUUUUUCCCAGCAUGAGUAAACAGGUUAUGCAGAUGAUCAGGGUACAGCAUUGUAAAGUAGUCGUAACAAAGACAUCAAAGGGAGCUAUGUGUUGAGAAUAUAAAGAAGAGAAUACGUUCACUCGCGUAUUUAUGGUACCGUUAACCAGGUUAUCUCGCCAGAUAGCGUUCUUUAAAAGACCUUCAGGGAUCCUUGUUAAUUUGUAAUGCCUUUAUUCUUUCCAAUAAUAACAAUAGUAAAAUUCGUAGGAAAGCAUUGAUAAAAAUUUUUAAAAUAGGUCGAGAUAACUCGUCUUUGUCCUAAAAGAAAAGAGGUAUUUUAGGAUUAAAUAAAAAAUGAAAUGAUUUGGAUUCUCCUGAGGCACGUGUGAACGGGAUUCAAACGAGAACAGUUUCUCGCGUGGGAUCGGUGGAAGACGAAAUAGAAAGUCGUCGGUUGUUGCGCGAAAAAAAAAAAAAGAAAAAAGAAGGAUUAUACAUAUCAGAGAAACGUAAUCGUCAUUUAAUUAGCGGCUCGUCCGCGAGAGACGCGUAUCUGUCGGGGGAGAACGUUGCAGCAAGAUGGUGCAAGCGGUGCACGCGCGAGUAUGCCUUUCCAAGCGAACCGAAGGACGGACCUCGAUGAUUCCUUUGCUCACUCGGGAUGCAAUUAAAAAUCUUUCACGCUUUACCUGGUGAGAUGCGAACCACGCUUACUGCUUCGUGAUUUAGAUCGGAUCUAUCCUUUUCCGUUUCUUUCACCUGAAUUGUUAAAGUGUAACGUUCACUGUACAGCAUGGUGCGGAUAAAAAGUAGUUAAUCAACUGUUAUCAACGAUACGUGAGAUGUUUCGAAUUUUUUUAUACGAAACAAAGUUAUUUUAUUUCCGAAUCGAAGAUAUCUCACGAACCGUUGAUACCGAUAUAAUUUCUCAGAAAUAUGCAAUUGCAUUUGAAACAGAGAUGCACUUGUAAAAAAGUAAAACGAUUCUUGCCUAUUUCUAAACUAUUAUGGAAACCGUGAAGAAUUUCAAAGAAAUGUUACACGAUAAUGAACAUAGGUAUUCCUCGUUCGAUUACAGACAAGAGUUACUUAAUCCCCUCGUGUACAGAAUCCUGAAUGAAAACUCGUAUGGUUAUCUAGUAAAUCUACCCAGGCAACCUACAUUCGCUCGUGAAAUUCGUUUCAUUGUUUCGUUAAUAAUCUCGUCCAUUGUGUGAUCCAGGUAAAGAAAGAGAUGAGCCCUCUAAUGAUUCCACUCGUGUGCUGAUAGAAACAGAGAGAACUUCCGUCACAGAAUUUUUGUGGAAAUUUGAUUCAUUUUUCUGAGAAUUAUAAACAAGUAUCAUCAGAGUAAUUAUAGCACAAUUACACUCGGGUGGAUUACAUUGGAGGUGGUAAGUUAUGCGGUUAACCCUUCUGUGGGCAAGCAUACUUGAUGGAUAUCAUUAUUAAUCCUUCUCUGUGAAGAGCAAAGCAUCAUUUUUUCUAUUUCAAAUUCUGCUAAAACAACUGUAAGCGUUUAGUGUACGGGGAGAGAGGGUUUCGUCUCCCCGGACGCUUUUAGUUCGGGUCGGGUACCGCUAGGUGGCGGCGAGAUCGGUGACAGUGUUCUCGCAAGCGGUCGCCCGGCAUGCAAGUUCCGAAUUGCGGUAUGAUAGGAGUCUGUUGUCAGCCCCACUGACAGACGAUCCCGAGACGAAACGUCUUUUUCUCCCCUCUCCUACACAACUUGAAGAUUCAUAACAGGUACCAGGUACAAUGACUACCAGGGUUUCCCCAUGGUGCAAGAGACAGGUGUCCUAUUCAUGGGUUUCUCUGAAGCGAAUGUUCUACUAAUAAUAGAAAUUCAUCCAGCGAUGACAGGUCCAAGGGAUCAUGGUUUAUGACACGGCCCGAGUUGGGUACUUCUUUAGAUAUAAUCUUUUGGCGAACUUAAAUUCUUUGAGAACCUUUACUACCUGUCAUUGACACUUUUAUAACAUUUCCAAAUUGAACUGUUCCCGUGCCUCUCUAUGAGGUCCGCCGGACCGUACCAUUUUUCUUCCUAUUAUUCUCAGCAACAAUUCCACCUUGCGUUUUUCCCCAAGGACGUUCGUAAGAGCGUAUCGACCAGUUUGCUAACCGUACACCAGUUAACGUGAACACCUCCCAGACUUCACCUUUUCUGUUUACCUUCUCGAUGGAGUUGCAAAGCAACGAGGUACACGUGCGAAAGCACAGGAUUGAUUCGAACGAGUGGCCCCCUUUUUCCCCUCGGUAUGUGUACCGAUAACGAAGCACACUUUUGCGUGUAGUUUCUGCUGGAGUGGCUCUAACUUGUACAUAUUAGAGAGGACGUAUUAAAAGGCAACUGUGAAACCGGUUUCCUUCGUCCACCAUUUGUUCCGUCGUAAUAUUGCAACAAAUUGAGAAAAUUAAUAAGUUAAAGGAAUGAAAUUAUGAGAUUAUAAGUCCAUCGAAAUUUUGGAUAAAAAUAAAAUCAAAUUUUGCAACAUAGGAGGAGGAGUUCCUAACCAUUCUCCUGAAUACUCAAGAAAUAAUUCUCAUAAUUUUAAUUUAGAAAAAUCUGGUUAAUAUAAUUUUCCAAGGCUUUGUGUGCGAGAAACAUGUUCCAGGUAAUUGUUGAUUCACGGAAAAAAGAAACGACGUAGGAUCGUCUUGAACUAAAGAGGAGGAAGAAAAGUGGACGUUUUGAUGUCGUGUUUUCGAACGACAGGGUUUGACGAGGUUGUUAGAGAUUCCAAGGAAGAGGUAACGGGUAGAACAGCAAAAACACUGAAGAAUUGCGUGGCAAGGGUCUCGAUUUCCCCUCUGGAAUCUUCCCUCGUGGAAAGUAAUCGCUGCCACGAACUUUCCACACGAUAAACACGAGUUUACGGUCCACCAUCGCUGCUGGCACGUGUUUUUUCUUCGUCGCUUUUAUGGAACUGACGUUGUUUUCCUCGGUGACUGGUGAUUAAACGAGAAAGUUGACAAUAACAAAGAGGAAAUUAAUUUUAUAAUUGAAUUUCUAUAUAAUUUGAUUGACGAGAGUGCCGGACAUUAAAUCAGGACGGUGUCGCGCGAUUUCCAUCGACAGCAGCCGAUAUUCGUGUCAGUGGGCAACCUCGAGUCGAUUUCUCAACUCGAUCGUCCUCCAUCGGCGAAAUCCUCUUCCCCUUUUUGGGAAAAAUCUCUCCUGGGACAUGGGAAAAGCCGGCGUGGCCGGUCGAGCGGAAGUCACGAUUUCACGGGGGAAGAUAUAUUAUUCGGACGGACGCUAUUACUCAUCGAACACCUAUGCGACCAAGUAUUUUUCACCGAUUUUAUACGAAUACCGUUAUCUCGUUCAGCGAUACUCUUCUUAUACGGUAGCGUUUCACGUCAACUUACGGGGCGUUAAUGUUCCGUUACGUAAGAAAUUGCGAAUCAUUAUUACAAAGUAUACUUUACAUGGAUAGACAAUUGAAACUAAUAAAAAUAAAAGUUUCGAAGAGAAAAUAUUUCUAAUUUUCACCAUCGUUGCAGUUGGUUUCAUCAGGGGUCAGCAAACGCGCUGAUACUAGGUAUCAUAAUAAAUAGCAGCGACAUCAGGGGUCAAACGACACAUUGAUAGUCGAUAUCAACACCAUCAAAUUGAUAGACAGCUCGGAAUUACGGACACCUGGGUGCCAUAAGAAACUAAGAUCCCCGUCGGCACCCAUUAAAUCGUGUCGCAAAAACAGCAGACAAUCCGAUCCGUGAGGACUCACCGAUGGUGGUUUGUAUCCUUGGCUCGACGUCGACAGCGGAGACGAGGACGACUUGGCCUAACAGGCAAAGUCCUACGACCGCGUACAGAAAACAUCUUUCCUGGAUACGCAUCCUACCGCAUUCUUCUGCACAGUUCCACUUAAAACACGCUCGAAACACCAGGUCCUCUUAAUCGAUCUGUUAUCGUUUGCCAGUCGCAGGCAACGAUCGAUCAAACAGAAUGAAAAACCUUUCGGCUAUCACAACAGGGUAUCGAACACUGUAAGCACAAAAAUAAUAAUUCACGGUAUAAUUCACUCGGUUCACUGAUUCGUCGGUCGAUUCGCUCGCGAUCCGUGCCGAGGCCGGAGGUGAAGUGCACCGGCUGAUUCCAACACGACGGACAUAUUGGCGGGCCUUGGAAUAAUGGCGGACCUCGGUCAGGGAAGGGGCAGGUUUACUUCUUCAGGGAUAGGAGUAGUGAGCUUAGGCUGCUGAUCUUCUGCUUUCAUGUAAAUAAUUUUUAAUUAUUCUGUUACGAAUUUUAAUAUAUAGGGAAGGGUAUUUAUAUAUUUCGGGAAUUUAAUUUUUUUUUCUAAAUUAAAUGCCACGAAUAUUGAAUAAAGAUACGAUUUAUAAGUAAAUGAUCGUCAUUUUCAAUAUUUAAUAAAAUGGAUUUUAGUGAUGAUGUUUUUUAAUUGAGACACCCUGUAUGUAUCUUUAUAUCUCCUCUACGCCUCCACCUAUGACAAAAUUAGUCGUAUCAGUUAUUCAGGUGAUCUUUUAUUUAAAUCUUCUUGUAUAUUUGGUAAGGAACAACCAUCAGUAUUAAUUAAAUAUUUCAAUUCUUUAUCCAUCGAUUGAAGAGUUGAAUGCAAGAAUCAGACAACUUCAUUUUUAGUAAUUUUACAGAAAUUGAAAGGAACUAUUUAAAUCAUUUUUUUUUCUUAAACAUAUAACAAAAUUUUUAUUUCUAAAGAAAACGAAGCUGUCUGGUUCUUGCAUCCAACCCUUCAAUUAUAGAAUUCCAGCAUAAGGGUUUUGCAAAUUCCUUUCAGGAAUUCGUGGAAUUUUAAGUCAUCAUAAUUCCAGGGAGUAAUUAGAAUAAUUACAUAAAUUUUAAUACUCGUCAUAGAGUUUUAAGAAUUCCAAUGUGUCCUUAGACUCUUGAAGAAGCUAGUUGCAACGAUCACAGAUUUGAUUCAUUUUCAUUCUUUUUUUCAUGGAAUGAAUGUUAUUUCAAGGUCGACAUUAGAUGAUGCAGAAAUUGAAUCGAACAAUCGUGGUGACGAAUCGAAGCGAAAGCGGUGAAAUCGAAAGUAAGCGUGUAUUGUCGCGUAUUUUCGUCGCGUGCAUUUAUCGAUCGUCACUUUUGCUACUGGAACAAAGUGUCUCUCAUCGACCGUGGAACGAUGUAAUUUUCGAUAAUACCCUCGCUACAGUUUCUCCUCAGGAAUCGGGAUAAAAACACUCCUUUGUUUCCCUUUUCUUAUUUUACGAAUCAAUUAACACCUCUCAUGUCCACUUGAAAUUAGUCAUUAAUUAAUUAAUUCGGAACAAAGCGAAUAAUAAUUAACACGUUAUUCACCAACCAUAAGUAAAAUAGAUCUACCGUCUUAUCGCUUCCAUAGAAUCAUAGAUCCCAAGAAAAUUUUUGAUUUCCCAUAACUUCUCCAUUGAUCAAUGAUCAAUUAUAUAUAUUUAUUGAUCUAAGGGCGGAUUAUUAAAGGGCUAGAAUCAUAGAUCCUAAGAACAUUUUUGUUUUCCCAUAACUUCCCCAUUGAUCAAUGAUCAAUUAGAUAUAUUUAUUGAUCUAAGGACGAAUUAUUAUAGGGCUAGAAUCAUAGAUCCUAAGAACGUUUUUGUUUUCCCAUAACUUCUCUAUUAAUCAAUGAUCAAUUAUAUAUAUUUAUUGAUCUAAGGACGGAUUAUUAUAGGGCUAGAAUCAUAGAUCCCAAGAAAAUUUUUGUUCUCUCAUAACUUCCCUAUUAAUCAAUAAUCAAUUAUAUAUAUUUAUUGAUCUAAGGGCGGAUUAUUAUAGGGUUAGAAUCAUAGAUCCCAAGAAAAUUUUUGUUUUCCCAUAACUUCCCUAUUAAUCAAUCAUCAAUUAUAUGUAUUUAUUGAUCUAAGGGCGGAUUAUUAUUCGUCUGAAAGUUUCUCGAGAGAAAGUGUUAGUGGGUCAGGGUGACGACACACCUCCAGACACUCCAGCAAAGUCAGAACAAUGGGAUCUUUGAAUCAUUUAAAUGCAGGACGUAUAUAUUCGCCAAUGAUUAAAAUAAUUUCCUCACUGAAGAUGAUUUCUCCUCUCGAAGGGCGUCGAUCAUUUUGAAAGAUCCUGAAGGAAGUUCCUGGUAAAUGAGUCACCCGGUAGACGAAUCGAGUCCGGUCAAGGAAGGCCUCGGCUAACUUUGGAGAAAUCUUUCACGGAGAAAAAGCGAGUGGGUUUCAUCCACGCUCACACUGGUCUCACCUUUGUAACGAUCUCAGGCGUCUGUGUCGGUGUCUUAUGUCAUCCACUCGGUGAACUAGAUUCGAAAUCCUCCGCGUUAAGAAAAUCGUUCUCUUACAUGAUCCUCGAUCACGUGAAAAUAAUGUUUUAACGAGGUUUACAUUACUUUGUGUGAAACGAAAUGAUACUUUAAUUAGUGGCAAGCAUCGAUGCACUUUAUUAUUGAAGCUUUCUUUUUUAGAAGAUCUGAGAAGAAUGAAGUCACGUUCGCAUCCGGUACUAUUCUCUUUUUACGAAAUUAUGUGUUAGUCAUCGUUACAAGAUUCGGAUUUCCCAUAGGGGUUUCGGGCAAUGCUGCGUGGCAGUGUCAUCGGCAUUACAAUGAAUCUGUCUAUUCAUAGCUAGAGAUAUCAUUGAAUGCUAAUUACUCGGUUAGUGUUUACCACCUUGCAAUAAGUAUUAUUUCUAGAUGCGAUGCUUUCGAAUUUCUGUAUGAGGAAUACUAGCACGAUUUUUGAUUCGAGGUUUAAAAAUAAUUUCGGUAAUUUAGGUGACUGUAAAAUAAUUUAAUAUAUAGAGCUCUGAUAAUUGAAUAUAAAGAGCUGUUAGCGAGUUUUUUGCGAGAUGUUCACCUUGGAGCUCAGAUAUAGCUCGCGAGCUAUUCGCGAACAGCAUUGUAGACGCGGCAUUACAUAUUCAAAUAUUUUGUAAAAUUUUGGUCAAAGUUACGGCGACGAGCGUGAAAUGCAAUAAGGAGAGCAUAAAGCGAAGCGCAUACAGCAAAACAGAGGGCAAAGCUCGAGGGAAGGCCGAGAUUCGGUGAAAGCGUGCCGCAUAAUCUGCAUGUACACGUUUCCCGUUAAUUUGCACGCCGUAUUAGCGUGCAUUAUCAACCAACUGUUUUAUUUCCCCUUUGCAUUAUUUAUCACCUGUUGCAUCGCGUAGCUCGAACAAUGAACGGACGCGUUUAGAAAAUUCGAUGUGUUACCAGUGGUUAUAGAUUCAACAAGUUUGGAUACGUUUUUGUUUUCGAGAGGUCUUGAAUUUGUGCUGCGCGAACGAGCGCCAUUUGCCCUAUUUCAGUAUAAUAAUAUGAAAUAACUUUGCACUGUAACAGUCUAAUGCACGUUGACGGUGAUAACAUGUUGCUUCGAUUCUAACGAGUAUACUCCAUCAUUCACUGUCAGUGCUUCGAGCUCAGUAUUGCCAUGUUUCAGUAACGAAGGCAUGUCCAAUCUAGUUGGAUCUGUAGUCACCGAGGUUAGCGAAGAUGUUACAUCCCAGGAUCGCCACCCCCAAAGUGAACAGCGAAGAGAAGCAUUAAGGGAAGGGUGAUCCAGCCUUCCCCUUCAACAGUAGAUACGACAGUUCCACCAUUAAACUCGGUGGGAAUAUCAGGAUCACUGGCGUCCGGGCACCCUUGCACGCGACCCUUGCAAAGGUCGGCACAGGGUGCGACCCCCGGUGUCGGCCACAGGAUAGGUAGCAGGGGGUAAUCUCAGUUUGGACCUCCCUCGAGAUAGGCACUUGAGUACCAGACGUGGAGGGCUCCGGAAUAAUACACAUAAGGUCAUACCGUCAGUGUUGGUCGACGUGAGGUUUAACCACUGAUUCGAGUAAAGGUAGCUGGCUGCGACACCGUUAUCAAUCGUUCGACGUAGAGCGAAGUGAAACAUCAUCAGUCUUAUAGCGACCGCCGAGGGGUACAGAUCUACCUGCUAAACAUACAUAUACCCUUAUUUUACAUUCUGCGUUCAUUUAACUUGUUGUAUUUAUCUUCUUAGCUUAUUGAAUAAACUCAUUAGGAGGAUGAACGUGUU